GGAGAGGUGGCCGAGUGGUUGAAGGCGCACGCUUGGAAAGCGUGUUAAGGGGUAACUCUUACGAAGGUUCGAAUCCUUUCCUCUCCG
rnacentral:tRNA from 1 species